rnacentral:rRNA from 1 species
GAUGAACGCUGGCGGCGUGCCUAAUACAUGCAAGUCGAGCGAACAGACGAGGAGCUUGCUCCUCUGACGUUAGCGGCGGACGGGUGAGUAACACGUGGAUAACCUACCUAUAAGACUGGGAUAACUUCGGGAAACCGGAGCUAAUACCGGAUAAUAUAUUGAACCGCAUGGUUCAAUAGUGAAAGACGGUUUUGCUGUCACUUAUAGAUGGAUCCGCGCCGCAUUAGCUAGUUGGUAAGGUAACGGCUUACCAAUGCAACGAUCCGUAGCCGACCUGAGAGGGUGAUCCGCCACACUGGAACUGAGACACGGUCCAGACUCCUACGGGAGGCAGCAGUAGGGAAUCUUCCGCAAUGGGCGAAAGCCUGACGGAGCAACGCCGCGUGAGUGAUGAAGGUCUUCGGAUCGUAAAACUCUGUUAUUAGGGAAGAACAAAUGUGUAAGUAACUAUGCACGUCUUGACGGUACCUAAUCAGAAGGCCACGGCUAACUACGUG